rnacentral:rRNA from 1 species
CCCUUAGAUGUUCUGGGCCGCACGCGCGCUACACUGAUACGUUCAACGAGCUCCUUGACCGAGAGGCCCGGGUAAUCUUUGAAACCGUAUCGUGAUGGGGAUAGAACAUUGCAAUUAUUGUUCUUCAACGAGGAAUGCCUAGUAAGCGCGAGUCAUCAUCUCGCGUUGAUUACGUCCCUGCCCUUUGUACACACCGCCCGUCGCUCCUACCGAUUGAACGUGCUGGUGAAGCGUUAGGACUGGAGGUCUUGGGCCGGUUCGUCUGCCCAUAGCUUCGGGAAUUUCGUUGAACCCUCCCGUUUAGAGGAAGGAGAAGUCGUAACA